AUCACGCACUGGAGGAGAAACGUACAAAUCCGCGAUCUGUUACCUGGUUUCGGCUCACAAGCAGUUGUUUAGUGCUCGCCGCUCGGAGUCCUCUCACAGCCGCCUGGGAUGCCAUGGAUGCCGCCAUGUUGAACCGGAAAAGAUAAAGAAGAUCAACACAAAAGCAGGAUGCCAUGAUGGAUGUUUGAUGGGUUGGAUCAGAUGCAUAUCAGGUUCCCAAACUUGGUGGCGUGUUUCUUUAGCGUUGAUCAGAGGGAGGAGUUCCUCCUCGGCUGGCCCUAGGAACAUCAAACAUCCAAAACCAAUGCCUGCCUGAGGACGGUGGGACCAAUUCCAUCCUUUCUUACAAGCAGCCCAGUUGGAGGCCGUGAAGCUUUCCUGCAUGAGCUUUAGAUCACAAGGCUGUCUCUUUUUAUGAUCAAUGUAUUUAACCCCUUUACGCAGGUAGCUUUAUUGAUCCCCACUGCGAAACUGAAAACAUCUGGCCCCCUCAUUGGACGUCAGUAUGACUCUGACAGCUAGGAUCUAUUGGCCUCAUUAGCUAAAGGAGAAAGAGGGAAAUGUGAGGGACGCCUAAUUUCCCUUCCUUUCACAGUCUGGUUCUCCAAACACCAAAGCCCUAAAGCUCGCUAAGCCUCUUACCUCUCUCUGUCUCUCUCUUUUUCUUCCUCAAACUGGUUCUGCUCCCCUUCACCCUAACCCACUUUAAAAGCUAUUCUCCUCCAGCUCAAUGCAAAUAAGGCCAUUUCAUUUUACUAUGCUGGCGGUACAUCUCCCACUAAAAGGAAUGGGAAGCGGUGGCACACUCCAUCUGUGCACGGGAUGUGGUACCUUUUAAUGCCGUGGCGAUUUUUCUUUUAGAGUAUUACCACACUGAGCACCGAGGGCUGUGAAUAUUUCUGAGGAACUGCUAGUAUAUAAAAUGUAGUUAUAAUCUGCAAAUGGCCUUGAGUUCACAUUCAAUUUCGACACUGGUUUGUGUGGCUUUAGACGGCCGUAAGAAAGUCUUGUUUUUUUUGUUUUUUUUGUAAUCUGUGGAAACAAGAGUAUGAUGCAAAGAGCUGAAUGAAUGCGUUUAACUGCUGAGUCAACAGCUCAGUCCUAGUCGCAGAAAGCAUAAACUCUUCAUCUGAGUGAAAACUCAAACUCAUGGGGUUGCUAAUUUUCACAUUUUUAAAGAAAGAGAGAGAGAGAUGUUCCAUUUAAGUUUGAUUUCUGUCUUUGCUUUCUCCCUGCCUGUCGCGUUUGUUGUUAAUUACUUUGGUUACUGAUUUUAUUAGUCAUUUCUUUCAGUUGUGCUCUAUUAGUUCCCUUUGUUUGUUCGAUGUAUUUAAGUCCUUGUGUUUUAUUUGCGUUUUGUCCGGUCCUAAAUCAUGUCAUUUGCUUGCAAAAACAUUUAUUUUCUCUUAAAGUGUAUGAUUUUUACAAAUUAGUAUAAGCUUGAAGGGCUCCCCAUAAACCCAACCGUGAAUGGGGAAGAAGAUCUUACAAAAACAUCACCAAAAUUCACCACCAAUUCACUAAAAUGAAAAAUAGUUCUCAACUGCUUUAGAGAAUGUUAAGAAUAAUGCAAUAAUGCAUCUGUCUUUAAAUAUGGGUAAGUGAUCCAAUCACAGAAAACACAGUUUUAAAUGAGGCUUUUGUCAACAGACAUUUUGAUCAGUAAUUUUGUUGGCAUGAUCAACACUGAUUUGAUAUUCCAAGCAUAGAUAACAGUUAUUUCAUACCUCUGUUUCUGAGAGAAAGGAGAUGUACAUUCCAAGAGGACAAAAAGAAUAUGAGCCACUGAUGUUGAAUGUGUUGAAGUUGUCACACAAUCAUUAACCUCUAGUGCCAAAUCUUUCAGAAGUGCACACUAAAUCACUCUCAUUGCCACCAGGGCAUUGAUUCUAAACUCAAGUUCAGCCACUAGAUGUGAUUUAAUAUGGUAGUGUACAGUACACGUAUGCAAGAGCAGCGUGCAUUUAUAUUCAACACAGAUGAUUCAACCAGCUGCAUAGCCGUAUUAUAGUCCUGCCAAUCCAUGUAAACAAAUUUGAGCUUUACCAUGGCAGAGCUGCUAAACACAUAUCCACAGGAGAAUUCAAAAGGCACAGUGUGCAGAAUGGGUAUAUUGCUUUCUGUUGAUGUGACUCAGACGUGCUGUUCAUUAUCCAAUUUCUCGGUAUCCGUUUAGUCUUGCAUAUUGACUUUUGCCAAAAAAAAAAAAAAAAAAAAAAAAAAGAAUUGUAUGGGUCAAAUACGA